UGGUAGAUGCACCCUGAUACUUAACUCCCUGAAUUAGCUAACACUUUCUUGGAGAUUUUUGU
rnacentral:sRNA from 1 species